UACGGAGGAUGCAAGCGUUAUCCGGAAUUACUGGGCGUAAAGCGUGCGCAGGCGGUUUUGUAAGACAGAUGUGAAAUCCCCGGGCUUAACCUGGGAACUGCAUUUGUGACUGCAAGACUAGAGUGUGUCAGAGGGGGGUGGAAUUCCACGUGUAGCAGUGAAAUGCGUAGAGAUGUGGAGGAACACCGAUGGCGAAGGCAGCCCCCUGGGAUAACACUGACGCUCAGGCACGAAAGCGUGGGGAGCAAACAGG
rnacentral:rRNA from 1 species